rnacentral:rRNA from 1 species
CCUACGGGGGGCAGCAGUGGGGAAUAUUGCACAAUGGGGGAAACCCUGAUGCAGCGACGCCGCGUGAGUGAAGAAGUAUUUCGGUAUGUAAAGCUCUAUCAGCAGGGAAGAAAAUGACGGUACCUGAGUAAGAAGCCCCGGCUAACUACGUGCCAGCAGCCGCGGUAAUACGUAGGGGGCAAGCGUUAUCCGGAUUUACUGGGUGUAAAGGGAGCGUAGACGGCGAAGAAAGUCUGAAGUUAAAGCCCGCGGCUCAACCGCGGAACUGCUUUUGAAACUUUUUUGCUGGAGUACCGGAGAGGUAAGCGGAAUUCCGUGUGUAGCGGUGAAAUGCGUAGAUAUACGGAGGUACACCAGUGGCGAAGGCGGAUUGCUGGACAGUAACUGACGCUGAGGCGCGAAAGCGUGGGGAGCAAACAGGAUUAGAUACCCCUGUAGUC